rnacentral:rRNA from 1 species
GAUGAACGCUGGCGGCGUGCCUAAUACAUGCAAGUCGAGCGAACAGAUAAGGAGCUUGCUCCUUUGACGUUAGCGGCGGACGGGUGAGUUACACGUGGAUAACCUACCUAUAAGACUGGGAUAACUUCGGGAAACCGGAGCUAAUACCGGAUAACAUAUUGAACCGCAUGGUUCAAUAGUGAAAGGCGGCUUUGCUGUCACUUAUAGAUGGAUCCGCGCCGUAUUAGCUAGUUGGUAAGGUAACGGCUUACCAAGGCAACGAUACGUAGCCGACCUGAGAGGGUGAUCGGCCACACUGGAGCUGAGACACGGUCCAGACUACUACGGGAGGGAGCAGUAGGGAAUCUUACGCAGUGGGCGAAAGCCUGACGGAGCAACGCCGCGUGAGUGAUGAAGGUCUUCGGAUCGUAAAACUCUGUUAUCAGGGAAGAACAAAUGUGUAAGUAACUGUGCACAUCUUGACGGUACCUGAUCAGAAAGCCACGGCUAACUACGUG